rnacentral:rRNA from 1 species
AGUUUGAUCCUGGCUCAGAUUGAACGCUGGCGGAAUGCUUUACACAUGCAAGUCGAACGGCAGCACGGGGGCAACCCUGGUGGCGAGUGGCGAACGGGUGAGUAAUACAUCGGAACGUGCCCAAUCGUGGGGGAUAACGUAGCGAAAGCUACGCUAAUACCGCAUACGAUCUACGGAUGAAAGCGGGGGAUCGCAAGACCUCGCGCGAUUGGAGCGGCCGAUGGCAGAUUAGGUAGUUGGUGGGGUAAAGGCUCACCAAGCCUUCGAUCUGUAGCUGGUCUGAGAGGACGACCAGCCACACUGGGACUGAGACACGGCCCAGACUCCUACGGGAGGCAGCAGUGGGGAAUUUUGGACAAUGGGCGAAAGCCUGAUCCAGCCAUUCCGCGUGCAGGAUGAAGGCCCUCGGGUUGUAAACUGCUUUUGUACGGAACGAAACGGCCUUUUCUAAUACAGAGGGCUAAUGACGGUACCGUAAGAAUAAGCACCGGCUAACUACGUG